GGAAGCAAACUCAGGCCUUUGUGCAGGCUAGACAAACAAGCAUCCACCGAGCUAAGUCUCCAGCUCCCUUUUCUUCAUGGUACCCUUGUCACCACUGCUCAAAAGGCAAGUCUCUUUUUUCUACCCCUAAAAUUUAUGUCAUCACAGACAUUAAAAUGUUGGCAGAGUAGAAAUUGUUCACAUGUUCCUGACACUGUUCUAGUCAUUGUUGCUGACACAGUGUGCUGCGAUUCAGUUCUAAAAUUGUCAUUGUGUAAUUGUGGGGCUAUGGACCAGCUAAUCAAUUCUAUUGGUCCUCAGCUUUUUCAUCUAUGAAAAUGUUAAUAAUUAUAGCUCGAAAGGUUAUCAAAAGAAUAUGGAGUUAAUAGGAAACUUCUGAACAUUGUACCUGGCACAUAGUAUUCAUUGUUUGCUGAUUGCUCUUACAAAUGCAUUACUGUCUCCUUCUAGUAACAUUUUUCUUUGUCACUCAUAUUUUUAGUGCUUUGAGUUUUAUGUGGAAAUAUUAAAUCCUUGAAAGUAUUCAUUUGUGAUUUAUGUAACCAAAUUGCUCUUUAGUGAAUGGACACCAUUGAACACUGGUGUGAACAUUUAUAAAUAAAUAGAAUAGCUUCUUUAAUUUCCUGCUGAUAUAAAAUGAGUAUUUGUAUAUACUUAGCCAGGCUUGGAAAAUAUCUGUAAUAACUCCUGAGUUAAUGCUUCUUUUUUUUUCCCCCCUAUGGUUAUUUUCUCUUAAUACUAGAUACAACAUGCUUGUUUUUUUCUCAGAAUUAGUAUACUUAGAUUUACAAAAGUAUACUAUUUAGGACAUUUACUUACUGA
rnacentral:lncRNA from 1 species